UGCCGAGAAUGAGGCUCCACCUCUCUGACCAAGCCAAAAGCCCAAAAACUUUAUGGGCAGGUAUGACUCCUACACCCCUCUGACUGCUUCUCAAUCACAGAUUCUAAUGGAAAUAGAAGGAGAAAGCUUCCUUAAUCGACCCCCAUCAAUGAGGAUGAAAUCUCAUGAUCGAAAGCGCUACUGCCGCUUCCAUCACGACCAUGGAUAUAAUACAGAAGAGUGCCGCAAGCUGAAGAACAAGAUCG
rnacentral:lncRNA from 1 species